UACGUAGGGGGCUAGCGUUGUCCGGAAUCAUUGGGCGUAAAGAGCGUGUAGGCGGCCCGGUAAGUCCGCUGUGAAAGUCGGGGGCUCAACCCUCGAAUGCCGGUGGAUACUGUCGGGCUAGAGUGCGGAAGAGGCGAGUGGAAUUCCUGGUGUAGCGGUGAAAUGCGCAGAUAUCAGGAGGAACACCAAUUGCGAAGGCAGCUCGCUGGGACGUUACUGACGCUGAGACGCGAAAGCGUGGGGAGCGAACGGG
rnacentral:rRNA from 1 species